rnacentral:rRNA from 1 species
GACGAACGCUGGCGGCGUGCUUAACACAUGCAAGUGGUGCGACGAACCAGGCUUCGGCCUGGGGCAGAGCCGCGAACGGGUGAGUAACACGUGGGCAACCUGCCCUGUUGAUCGGGGCAACCCGGGGAAACCCGGGCUAAUACCGAAUGUGGUGCCGGCUCAUGAGAGCCGUCACGCAAGGAAGCUUCGGCCUCCGCGACAGGCGAGGCCCGCGGCCCAUUAGCUUGUUGGUGGGGUAAUGGCCUACCAAGGCAACGAUGGGUAGCUGGUCUGAGAGGACGAUCAGCCACACUGGGACUGAGACACGGCCCAGACUCCUACGGGAGGCUGCAGUGGGGAAUCUUGCGCAAUGAGCGACAGCUUGACGCAGCAACGCCGCGUGGGGGAAGAAGGCUUUCGGGUCGUAAACCCCUUUCAGUUAGGACGAAGCUUUAUUGGUUAAUAACCAAUUGGAGUGACGGUACUUUCAGAAGAAGCCCCGGCUAACUACGUGCCAGCAGCCGCGGUAA